rnacentral:rRNA from 1 species
UACGUAGGGUGCGAGCGUUGUCCGGAAUUAUUGGGCGUAAAGGGCUCGUAGGCGGUCUGUCGCGUCGAAAGUGAAAACUCAGGGCUUAACCCUGAGCCUGCUUCCGAUACGGGCAGACUAGAGGUAUGCAGGGGAGAACGGAAUUCCUGGUGUAGCGGUGAAAUGCGUAGAUAUCUGGAGGAACACCGGUGGCGAAGGCGGCAUCCUGGACCAACACUGACGCUGAGGAGCGAAAGCCAGGGGAGCAAACGGG